rnacentral:rRNA from 1 species
UCUAGUAGCUGGUUCCCUCCGAAGUUUCCCUCAGGAUAGCUGGUGCAUUUAAAAAUUAUAUAAAAUAAUCUUAUCUGGUAAAGCGAAUGAUUAGAGGCCUUAGGGUCGAAACGAUCUUAACCUAUUCUCAAACUUUAAAUGGGUAAGAACCUCACCUUUCUUGAUAUGAAGGUUGAGGUUAUGAUAUAAUGUGCCCAGUGGGCCACUUUUGGUAAGCAGAACUGGCGCUGUGGGAUGAACCAAACGUAAUGUUACGGUGCCUAAAUUAACAACUCAUGCAGAUACCAUGAAAGGCGUUGGUUGCUUAAAACAGCAGGACGGUGGACAUGGAAGUCGUAAUCCGCUAAGGAGUGUGUAACAACUCACCUGCCGAAGCAACUAGCCCUUAAAAUGGAUGGCGCUUAAGUUGUAUACCUAUACAUUACCGCUAAAGUAUAUGAUUUAAAAUACAUUUGUAUUAUAAAUUUUGAAACUUUAGUGAGUAGGAGGGUACAAUGGUGUGCUUAGAAGUGUUUGGCGUAAGCCUGCAUGGAGCCGCCAUUGGUACAGAUCUUGGUGGUAGUAGCAAAUAAUCGAAUGAGAUCUUGGAGGACUGAAGUGGAGAAGGGUUUCGUGUGAACAGUGGUUGAUCACGAGUUAGUCGGUCCUAAGUUCAAGGCGAAAGCCGAAAAUUUUCAAGUUUUAAUGAGAAAAAUAUUAAAAUUAAAAACAAUAUAUAUGUAUAAUUAAACACUUGAAUAAUUUUGAACGAAAGGGAAUACGGUUCCAAUUCCGUAACCUGUUGAGUAUCCGUUUGUUAUUAAAAAUGGGCCUUGUGCUCAUCCUGGCAACAGGAACGACCAUAAAGAAGCCGUCGAGAGGUAUCGGAAGAGUUUUCUUUUCUGUUUUAUAGUCGUACUACCAUGGAAGUCUUUCGAAGAGAGAUAUGGUAGAUGGACUAGAAGAGCAUGACAUUUACUGUUGUGUCGAUAUUUUCUCCUCGGACCUUGAAAAUUUAUGGUGGGGUCACGCAAACUUCUCAACAGGCCGUACCAAUAU